UUUGAAUCAUUCGACGUCGUGUGCUCAUAGUUCACAGUUCAUACUAGAAACAAUACUGUAACGUUCAUAAUAAUAAUGUUGAUAAUUAUCAUCAAACAAAAAUCUAAGAAAGAUGUGGAGUUCAGUGUUUCAAUGUAUGAAACCAUUUUUACUUUGAAAAAAAAGAUAGAGAAACGUUUAGGAAUUUCUGCCGGACAAUGUGACAUUUCGUCAACAGACGGAAAUAUUGCAGGCGCCGAUCUUAUAUUGGAAAUGUCAGGAGUUCAGGACGGUGCAAAUAACGACAGUCGACCGGUUAUAUCAGUCUAUAACGCUAGUAAUUUGUGGGUCGGCUUGUGGUGAUCGAAAAGGGCAAAGAAACUGUGUCGCCGGUAAGCAGCAUGUUAGCGCUGGAACAAAGUUCAGAUUCCAGCAGUGAAUCUAUCGAAAAAUGUAUAAAACCACAGGCUCAGAAACGAAAAAUGAAUCAUGAUUUACCUGCGGAGAAUAAGAGAUAUAAGGUGGACCCUACCGUGAGCGAGGAAAGUAAAAUUUUAAGUGGGA